rnacentral:rRNA from 1 species
UACGUAGGGGGCUAGCGUUGUCCGGAAUUAUUGGGCGUAAAGAGCUUGUAGGCGGUCUGUCGCGUCUGCUGUGAAAAUCCGGGGCUCAACCCCGGGCCUGCAGUCGAUACGGGCAGACUAGAGUGUGGUAGGGGAGACUGGAAUUCCUGGUGUAGCGGUGAAAUGCGCAGAUAUCAGGAGGAACACCGGUGGCGAAGGCGGGUCUCUGGGCAAUAACUGACGCUGAGGAGCGAAAGCGUGGGGAGCGAACAGG